GGCUCAGGAUGAACGCUAGCUACAGGCUUAACACAUGCAAGUCGAGGGGCAGCAUGAUUGAAGCUUGCUUCAAUUGAUGGCGACCGGCGCACGGGUGAGUAACACGUAUCCAACCUUCCGUACACUCAGGGAUAGCCUUUCGAAAGAAAGAUUAAUACCUGAUGGUAUCUUAAGCACACAUGUAAUUAAGAUUAAAGAUUUAUCGGUGUACGAUGGGGAUGCGUUCCAUUAGGUAGUAGGCGGGGUAACGGCCCACCUAGCCUACGAUGGAUAGGGGUUCUGAGAGGAAGGUCCCCCACAUUGGAACUGAGACACGGUCCAAACUCCUACGGGAGGCAGCAGUGAGGAAUAUUGGUCAAUGGACGAGAGUCUGAACCAGCCAAGUAGCGUGAAGGAUGACUGCCCUAUGGGUUGUAAACUUCUUUUAUACGGGAAUAAAGUGAGGCAUGUGUGCCUUUUUGUAUGUACCGUAUGAAUAAGGAUCGGCUAACUCCGUG
rnacentral:rRNA from 1 species